UUCCACCAAGGGUUAGGAAGUUGGAAAGUAGAGCCAAGAAAAUAGAGCCACGUCAAGUGAAGUUUAGUUGGAUCUUUAACAAACAAGUGAGUGCUUAGAUGAAUUGAUUUGUCAUAAACAGAAGCAAACCUAGGAUUUGAAGACUCUGGAUGCACCAAUAUUUCUUAAUUUUAGCAUUAGCGAAACUUUCAAAGGUCAAGGUGGGUUUGUUCUACCGAAUGAUCAUGGGGUUGAAUCUCUUAUUUAGCAAUUUAAUGUUAUAAAUAUGUCCCCUUUAAAUCCAAAACUUAUAAUAAAAACAGUAAAAUAUGGUUCUUGGGCUCAAACCUAAGUCGUGAGAGCGGAUGCACUGGCCUUUAAUUACCAGCAGUACCAAGUGUCAUCUUAUGCUUUCCAUGAGGGCAUUGUUACUUAUAUUUAGUUUCUGUCAGUUUCUCAAGAUAAAUAUUCAUAUAUAUAUAAUUUUUUCGGAAAUUAACGGAUGCACGUGAAUCCCUAUCUAUACAUGUGGGUCCACCUAUGAUCAUAAAGACGUAAAAUAAAAACUUAAUUAUCCUUUCACUGAUAAUCUUUUUCGCUAAGCUGGUAAAAUAAACUUAUUUUGAGACAUAUAUUCGUCUUAUAAAAUAUAGUUUAGUAAGUGUUCGAGAGAACAAUAAUAUGUAACUGAUUAAAUCAUUUGAGAAGGGCAUGUAAGUAUUAGUUUGUAUUUAACAAUAUUUUUAAAAAAGUAAUUUUUGAUGUCAAAUUACGAAAAACAUAGUUACCACUAAUUAAUUUGGUAAAUAUGAUUUUUUUAUUUGAAUAAUCUUGUCAUAAAAAAACUAAAAGCACCUAUAUAUUUGGGAAAAUGUUAUUUUGAGCUAUGUAUAAUCAACAAAAGUUGUACGAGGAUCCACUAACUUUUUAACAUGUGGAUUGUGGGCACAAUUUGUCCUUCAAAUCUGUACAAGAAAUCAAAAGGAGAGAGAAUAUAAGUUUUGAGUGAAAAUUAAAAGAAAAAUGUGGGGUCCACGCCAAAUUUAAUUUAAUAUAUUAGUAAAUUAUUGGAUUAAAUGGGCAUUGUGGGGCACAUUUGUCACUCAUUCCAACAAAAAUUCUAGCACUCCUUUAUGGCUUUUCUUCUUCUUCUUGAACAUCAAAAAAAAAUUACAUUCUUUUCCAGCAAAUUAAUUUCAAUAAAAAUCAAAAUGCAUGUCCAACUAUUGAAAUUAAACAUGCAAUUAGAUUGGUGUUUCAACAUUGGGGAUCUUAAAUGGUUGUUGAUGAAAAAAUAUAUAGUUGUUGAUGCUUAAAUAAUUGAAAAGUUGAUGUUGAUCUUGAUUCUUCCCUCUAAAUCGUGCUCAAUCACUUUGAUCUUCGUCUGCAAUUUUUCGUUCAUAUUUUUCACGUAUGAAUUAUAUUUAGAUAAUAACAAUUAAUUGAAUGAUUAUCUGAAAAAUAAACUCUUCGAAAUCUAAUAGGUGUGCUUGAUCAAUAAAAAUAGAUUAUAUUGAUUGUGGACCAUUUUAUCUAGGGUUGGGCAUAAAAUACCGAAUUACCUAAUCGAACAAAAGUUUUUGGUAUUUGGUAAUUAUGCAUUUGGUAUGGUAUUUGAGAAUAAAGUUUUAAAAUUAUGGUAUUUGGAUUCGGGUUUGGUAUGAGACAUUAGUACCAUUUGGUAUUCAGUAAUUCCCGAAUACCAAAUUAUUUACUUAAUGAAGGUCAUAUAUCAACAUAUCCAUUACUCAUUAGUACAAGUCCAAACAGAAAGUUAAAGAAUAAGCAUGAAUAAUAAAUACAUGUCUUUUAGUUGCAUCAAUUUGCUUUUAUUGAUGUCUUCUUGCUUGUUGAUCUUCUACUAUAUCGUGCAUUCACAUAAAAAAAAUUGAGAAAUAGUAUUAACUAUGUAAUACAAUCGGCUAUAACUUCAAUAUGGUAUUACCGAAUACCGUAUCAAACCGAAGUUUAUCUUACCGUUUCCUGAAUUACCAAAUCGAAAUUUAAAAAUUUGAUAUUUGAUAUCUACUUUUAACUAUCAAUUAUCGAAUUAUCAAACCCGAAAUUUGAGAAACCCGAACCAAAUUUAAUGUACGACCCUAUAAAUUGGCUUCAUUUGUCAAAGGAGACGUUAACAUUAAUGUCAUAGCUUGAAAAUUAUAUAGAGGAAACAUGUGGGUUAAGCGUAAACUACGUCAAAAUUUAAUGUAUUCUCUUUCAAGUAGUAGUAAUUCCCCCAGCUAAAUGAAGGAGUCUAAACACUCUACUUCUUAAAGUUAGGUACUGAAAAGAUAAGAAGAUAAAGAGAAGGAAAGAAAAAAUAAAAAGGAAACACAGAAAAUAGUUUUGUCUAACUCAAUUCAUUUAUAUUUACUUCAAGGGUUAAAAAGGUCAAAAACACACUUAAAUUAUUUUAUUUUAUUAAAUUUUCUACCUGAAUUAUUGAAAGUGUAAGUUUUCUAUGUGAACUAUCAUCCAAUGGUUAGCAAAACACAACUAGACGUUGACUAGACCAAGUGUUUGUCUAAAAAUGCUUCUAGGCACGUUUUGUCCAUAAAAUCUUCAUCCACCAGUCAUAAAUAAUGUCUUUAUUUUCUGACACAUUAUUUUUUAAAUAUAUUUUUAAUUGACUUCUUUAAAAUAAUAAACUCUCCCUUUUCAAGUCGGAGAUAUCAAUACCAUGACAAAGACGAGACCACACCUAAGAAGGUGUAGUAUAUGGUGAUAGUUUUAACCUUUAACCUAAGCGAGACAAGUAUCCCCAACUAUUCGACAAUUCAGAUACUACUCUACUCAUACUUUAGCCAGUCUUUCCUAGUUGAUCACUCGGGGAAGAGUGAUGGGUAAAUUGGUAUCUAUUGUAACGACAUGUUCCCAUCGUUAGGAAAAAGCCAAUGGGGAAAGAAUUGGGGCCAGAAAACUUUUGAGUAGUAACUUGGAAAUUCCUAGCCUAGUCCAGAUUUGGACGAAAUCUGAGUCAGUGGGGUCUAGGGAAAUCUGGUAAUGAAUGAGAGAUCUAAUUAUUAAUUUGAUCACAUGAGUAGAUAGGUAAGACGUUAAGAAACCCGUACGACCUUACAGAAUCAAAUUCGAGCGAGUAGUACUCCCAAAAUUGAUCUUAGCGUGAGCGGGUAGUUUCUGAGUGUCAUGGGAUAAAGGUGUGUUAUGAAAUGGGGGGUUUGAAACUCUUAAUUUGACUCUCUGUUUUCGUGCAAGCCGCCAGGGCGGGACUGGGUCCGCUGUAGCGGGCCAGUCGCAACUUAAGUCGGGAUUAAACUCCAAAAUUGUUAUUAUGUGCAAGUUUCGUUCUUGAGAGCUAAGAGACGACCCAAGGCUAUUUCUUAAAGGUUUUACACCUCUUCUAGCACUAAAGGUAAGGAUUUUACUCCCCUAAUCCGCUUUUCGAUCCGUAGAACUUAGGUGAUUAUCGAUGGGAGAGGGUUUUGACAUGAAAACGAAUGGUGGAAAACCCUUAAGUUAGGUAUUAGGAUCUUGGGUUUGGCCUAGGGUUGAUAAUUUUGAUUGUAAUCUGGGUAAUUAGGCCUCAUUUAUUGAUCAUUGUAUUAAUUUGUUGUUUUUAGACAAUGAACAAGCGGAAAGGGAAGAUUCAAGUGGCUUAGGGGGAUUCAAGAUUGGUUUCGAGGUAGGUGAUGGUUUGAUUUCAUAUUUUGUGUGAUGUAUAUUGGUAAUUGCUUCAUUGUAAUGCAUGUAUGUAUGUGAAUGAAGUCUUGUUGAUCACACCUAAUGUAAUUGAGUAUGAAGGAAUGAUUGUAUGCCAUGAAUCAACACUUGAUUGUAUGAUUAUGAGAAUGUACAUUGUGAUUGUGAUUGUGAUUGUGGCUUGUUGAAUGGAUCGGGUGUCACAUUCCGCAUGUUCUGAUACAUUAACUUGGAUCGGCUGCCAUAUUCCAGCGCAUAUAUGGGAUCAGCUGUCACGUUUCGGCACACUAACAAUUUGGGUAUGGAUUCCAUGAGAGGACUAUUGAAUUGGGUUCCAUGAGAGAACCAUUGAUUUGUUACAUCUACUUAUUAUUGAUAAUGUGGAAUCGUUCAUUGCUCCCAAAAUGAUAAUCGAUGUGUAUAGAUAUUUUGUGCAUGUAUGUGUUUACCUUGUUGUCAUUUUGAUAUAUGUUGUGCUUACUGGGAUAGCCGUGUGAUCCUACCAGUACACUGUGGUUGUGUACUGAUACUGCACUUGCUUGUUCUUUGUUGAGUACAGGCAUCUUCAGACGGCUAUUGAUAGACCUCAGCUAGGUGACUAUUGAGCGUGACCGGAUUCAAGGGUGAGCCAGUUUUUUCAGGCUGCCAUGGAUCUCUCUUGUUUAAGUCCACUCUUUUCGGACUCAGACUAUUUGUUUAAGGUGUUUGUUUAGUUUUAAGGAUGCGCCCCCUUUUCUUAGACUUGUUGCACUCUAGAUGUUUUGGUACAAUGACUUUCAGAUUCUAGGGGUUAUUUCCGCAUUAGUUGUUAGAUGUUAGUUGAACUUCCGCAUUAGUUAUGUUCGUUGUUUUAGUUGAACCUUUGGAGUUUAUGGGAACUCCAUAUUCCUUUAGACAUUUAAACAUGCUUUCGUAUCUUUAAAUGCAUAGUUUUUGGCUAAGUUGCUUAGUCGGGCUGUAGAAAUGGUUCUCACCAGAGGAUUAGUGUGAGUGCCAAUCACGAUGGUCUGGGUCAUGACAGUGAGGAUGAGUAGUGAUUACACAAUCAACAUCCUCACAGUAAUGUUGAUCAAACACAAGUAUGUUGUAAGGAUUUUAUUUGUUCAACCACAAUUCAUUCUCAUACAUCUCUUAUUAUUAUACCAAUUUAUGCGGACUCUUAUAUGAUCAUAUGACUUGUUUAAACUCAUUUAUUUGUGUACAUUUUAAUAAUUUAUUUUUUUAUUAGUUAACUAUUUUCUUUUUAAAAUUCUACUAGUUAAAGUCUAGACGUGUGUAUCAUAAUCUAGUAAGUUUAUUAUGGAUGAAGAUCUUAGUAUAGGCUAGACUAUACUUAGUUUAGUCCUCGACUUCUUAUAGUCUAACCUAUCCUAAGACCUUCAUCCAUAAUAAACUUACUAGGUUAGGAUACAUAUGUAUAGACCAUAACUAGUAGAAUUUUAAAAAGAGAAUAAUUAAUUAAUAAAAAAUAAACUAUUAAAAUUUAUACAAUUAAGUAAGUUUAAACAAGUCAUAUAAUCAUAUAAGAGUGGACAUAUUGAAGAUAACGAUCAAAUAUGUAUGAUGAUGAGUUGUGGUCGAACGAAUGAAAUCCUGACAAAACAUACUUGUACUUUAGUAAACAUUAUUCGAGGAUGUUAAUUGUAUAACCAUUAUCCAUCAUCAUACAUCUCUGAUCGUCGUUCCCAAUUUACAUGGACUCUUAUAUGAUCAUAUGAUUUGUUUAAGCUCAUUAAGUUGCGUAAAAUUUUAUUAAUUUAUUUUUUUAUUAAUUAAUUAUUUUCUUUUUUGACAAUAUGCUAGUAAGAGUUAUAAACUCAUACAGUAUAUUAUUGAUUAAACGUGUAGUUUAGAUGUACAAUGAAUUCAGUUGAUGGUCCUCGAUAUAAUAUAAUUGAUGUAGUUAUUUACUUUUUUGUUAUAUACUAAUAUUUUGUUUAUCAUUGCACUAACCAGCAUAUAUCUUACAAAUGAUAGAAUGUCAAUCUAUACAAUCCAUCAUCUACCAGCUAAUGUUCAACGUAAUCAACUGACACUAAUUCGAUUCAAGUGCCAAAUGAUUGCGUGUAGUGAUAUAACCCAAUCAAGGGUUGGGAUCGUUCCCACAGGGAGUGGGUUUGAGAAUUAGUAGAAAAAUAAAAUCAAGUUCUAAUUAGUCAUAGCUAUAAAUAUUAACGAAUAAAAACAUACUAAAUCUAAGGAGUGAUGCAAACGUCAAUUAUCAAUGGGGGUUUGUAUUAACUAAUCAACAAAAAAAAGACAAAAAUAUAAGGAAACGCGAUAGGGAGGCAGGGUUCUUGGGAUGUGAUAGGAAUACGGGUUAAACUAGACUAUCGGGUACAUGCUUUUGAUAGUAAAUUAUUGAGAAUUUGUGACUAGGCUAGACUAUAGUGGGGGUAAAUUCUCUCUCGAGCAACUUACCCCGAAUCAACUCGGUUUCUCUCAAACACCGAGUUGUCGCAUUAAGCACAUCCUCCACCUUAGCCUAUUCACUCUCUCGAGCUGAAUGUGUGGAGAAGGACUAGGAUUCACUACUCUCGAAGCUGAACCUAUGUCGACCCAAUACCACCGACUAUUAAUUUAGUAGUCUUAGUUUUACGACCUCUCUCUCGAGCAAGCCAAAAACACUAAGAUGAAAUCGUAUUUUGCAACUACAAUUUUAUUAAGUUCAUACACAACUACUAAACGAAAUCACAUUGAAACAACAAAUAAACCAUCAACAAGCAAGACCCAACAGAUAAUUUAGUCCAUAUUCACAAAAUAACACCCCAAGAAUUAGGGUUUUAGCUAGACAUGUAAAAGAAAUAAAAAUUUAUACCAAUAUCAGUUUUCAUCAAUUGGGUAUGACGAAUUAAGUCUUAAAACAUGUCAAAAGUGAAGAAUAUUCGAGACCCAUGUCCAAUUUCUUGGAGUUGAAAUCCUUUGAAUCUUCAAGGUUUUAGAACAAAGUCUCUAAAACCCUCUAAAACUUAUACUCUUUCAAAAACUGUAAAAAAUUUGAAUGCUAGAAGUCCUAUGAUAUUAUAUUUAUUAUUUAUAAUGUUUGAAAAUUUAUGCUGCGGAGGAUCAUUCGGCGCAGUUAGUCGGGAUCGCCGAUACGCUCGACGAUCCUCUUUUCGAUAGAUUUCAUCGCCUUCCUGCUUUAGCCUUCAGCCUUUUCGCGUUUUGAGUCUUUAGGCGAUAUGGUACUGCUUCGGGGAACUGAUCGGCGACGCGCCGACUGCUCCAUUUCAUCGCCAACUUGACCUUUUCCUUCAGGGCUCAACACACUAGAAUAAAAUGCGAUCUCCAAGCCCAUCAACGACUCGCCAACUGGGCUCGGCGAUCUUUAGCCUACAUUUCUUUGUUCUUUUCAGCCGCCUUGUUCCUUCUUGCCAAGUAGUGUCCAUGUUUUGCCUCAAACUCUAAAUACCUGAAACUUAAGGAUUUUCAUAAGAUAUUGAGACAAAAUAUCCAUUUUAGGACACUAAUUCUAUCAAAAUAUAGCCCUAAAUGAGUCCAAAUUGUGGACUCAUCAACACCCCCAACUUAAACUUUUGCUUGUCCUCAAGUAAAACCCAAGUUCGACAGUNNNNNNNNNNNNNNNNNNNNNNNNNNNNNNNNNNNNNNNNNNNNNNNNNNNNNNNNNNNNNNNNNNNNNNNNNNNNNNNNNNNNNNNNNNNNNNNNNNNNNNNNNNNNNNNNNNNNNNNNNNNNNNNNNNNNNNNNNNNNNNNNNNNNNNNNNNNNNNNNNNNNNNNNNNNNNNNNNNNNNNNNNNNNNNNNNNNNNNNNNNNNNNNNNNNNNNNNNNNNNNNNNNNNNNNNNNNNNNNNNNNNNNNNNNNNNNNNNNNNNNNNNNNNNNNNNNNNNNNNNNNNNNNNNNNNNNNNNNNNNNNNNNNNNNNNNNNNNNNNNNNNNNNNNNNNNNNNNNNNNNNNNNNNNNGCUCACUCUCACAAAGAAGAACACAAUGCAUGCUUUCACCCAUAGGUUUGCCCGUAUUUUCCAAUCAACAAUUGUUUCAGCUCACUCAAGAUUAAAAAAAAAAGGUUUUUUCAAGGCUUGUAAUGGGGCUGAGUGCAAAGGUAUGGUCAUUUAAGCUCAAUGACUUUCAUCCUCGUGAAAUGUGGUGCUUUCAACACUCUAUUUCCUUUUCUUUUCGUCAAUUUCUUUAGUGCUUAUAAGUCAUCCCAUUAUUCACUUCCAUGGAUUGUUCGGAACCCUAUCUCUUUUGACAUUUCUCAUAACUUUAUUUCACAACUUUUUCUUUUUAUUUUCUCUUGUUUUUUUUUUGUAUGGAAGGGUUCCAUUUUUCUCAACACCAUGGGUUAAAAGGGACUUUUCUUGCACUUCUUGACUUGCCUUUUCUUUUCACCACACCUCCAACUUAGGCUUUUGGCAUAAGUUGACUAUUCAAUCAAUCACAAAUCACGAGGAUUAUGGGUAGUGGAUUUAAUAAAGGUCAUGUUUUCAUCAAGUUUCUUUCAAAGAAAGGUAAGGCUCAAGGUGUGUUUAAAAGAGGUUCACACACUCACAAGGUAGGCCACAAAAGAAGUAUAUGUCAAAUUGGCUCAUACUCUUUCGAAGUUGCCUAAGAUCAUAUCAAGAGAUAACCUUACUUAGUCGACUGGACCAACGGGGCAAAUUCUAGGUGUUAUCAUGCAUGGUUCAUAAUAAGCUCAUCACACAAGGCAUCGACACCAAAGUCAAACAAGACUCCACACUUUCGCUAGUAUGCAACGUUCAUCACAAGAGAAUCAAUUCGAUAAUUGUCUAGUCACAACGAGAUGCAAAGAGUUCACAUAUUGACUAUGUAACUUCAAUUGGUCUCAUCGUAGCCGCACAUUCAUGUUCAUUCGAUUAUGAGCACUAUUUGAGUCAUCGAUAUUGAUCAAAAUCGAGACUCAAAUUUGCUCAAGAACAGCCACAUUCCACACGUACAAGAGGCGGCAAAAAUUUUAAAAUUUUUCGAAAGGGUCAAAAUCAUUUACAAUUGAAAAUAAAAGGAGUCACGAUCUCAAACAUCCACAAGAAGCAGUGUAAGACACAAUUUUAAGCACAACGACCCAAAUAUAUAAAUAAAACAUGAGCAUAAUCAGCACACAAAGGUGGGCCUCAACCCACCACAAACAAAAACCAUUUGUCCUCAAAUGCAAAUAAGAAUUAUUCAACAGUGAAGUAAAGCAAAACAGAGAGAGAGGUAAAGAAGGGAUCCUGUCUAUGUAGUCUCUUCAUUUGUCUGGGCAUCAGUGUCUUAUGCCUUACCCUGAUCCUGGGCAUCAGUACCCGAGGUUACCUCAAGAGGAACAACAGUACCAGAUUCACCAAGUUCUGUUGAGUGUGAGUUUGCUAGAAAGACAUGCACCGCCCUGCAGAAUCCCCGAGCCCAUGAAGGAAUAUUAAGGUCUAGGGUAAUGGUUUACCUGGCAGAAGUGGGCCUCUUGCCCUUGCCUUUCCUAGUAGUUGUGGGUAGUUUCGUAGCUUUGCCUUUCGACGUAGCUGCUCCUCAUUUAUCACAAUCUUUUGGACUUCUUUUGGGCUGGUGUUAUUCGUUCAACAGCUUUUGAUUUAGUCAUGUCUGCAAAAUCUCGAAGAGAAGUUAGAAAAACCUAAACAAAAGCACAGCAGAACAAUUUCAGACAGGUUCACCAAAUCAGAGGGUGAAACGCCGAAUUUCUUGGGGGAGCUAGACUGAGUUCGCCGAAGGAAUUAGCUCUAAAAACUGCGGCAAGUAGGAGAUGGGGGCACUUACUCGGCGUGUCGCCGAUAGCUUUCGGCGAACAAGGAUAGGCCUGCCGAAAGUUCCAGUGCACAAAGGUUCAGGGAUACAGACAAAAGGCGACUUACAAGCCUUUCGGCGAGUCGCCGAGUGCUUUUGGCGACCUCAGGCUUCUCGCCAAAAAUUACAAACUUUAACUACUCACUUAGCAAAAAAUUAAAGGCGAGAUGAGGGCACUAGGCGAACCGCCGAGUAGUUUGGUGAGCUCGACCCAGCUCGCCAAAUGACCCAACGUGCCUACCUUCAACCCAUCUUCUCGAAUUCAUCCCCGCAACCUCCGAAAAUAAAAUUAAAGCAUGCACUAGUUCAAUUUAGCUCAGACACAUCACAUCCGAACACGACCCCUCGAAUUUUAAUCCUGUUUAAGCCAUACAAUUACGGGAUGUUAACAAUUUCACUUAGUAAGGGCAAGAUCAUCGAAUCAAAACAGGCAAUCAAAAAUUCUAAUCCUACCAGAGGCCCAGCACACAUCAACAAAAUGAUAUUAUUGCAUUUGACUACAACUUUUGAUAAAAGAAACUCAGGGCUCGGAAACCAACCUUAGAUGUCGAUUAAGAUGCUAUUGAUAUGCUAGGUGGCAAUGCAAUCCAAUCCCGAGCACAAAUCAGCACUAAAUAUACUCUAAAAUGCGAAAAUAUAGGAACUAGUGUGCGGGUGUGAGUUUGGGAAGAUAAGAAGUGAUGGAAAGUGAACGAGUUAGAAUUUUUAAACCUUAGGCCUGCAAAACUGUCCAGUUUUUGCCCUUUCGGCGACAUUAGUCAAGCUCGCCUAACCUCUCUGGCGAUCCGCCGAGUGUUCAUUCACCUCACUAAAUAUUACAGAAUUUCCAGUGUGUGGGGCCCCCAACGACGGUCUCCAUCGAGAUCGCUGACAUGGUCAGCGAUUUGCCAAAAAUUUUCUAGGCUCGCCGAGUUUUACAGACUCCAAUUUGAAGAUGUCUUGAGUCAAAUGGUGGAUUAGGUCGGGUUCACCGACCUCUUUGGCAACUCGCCGACUGGACCUGUGACUCGCCACCCUACACUUUUUUGCACACUUUCCACACUUCAACCUGUAGAAACAACACACCAUUAUUUUAUAAAAACACAAAUAAAAAACAAUAAGAGGUUUUGGGUUGCCUCCCAAACAGUGCCUUAUUUAACGUCGCGGCACGAUGCAAGUCCACCUUCAAACCUCAUUCUUGGGGUUAGCCAUAGUAUAGCUAGGCAAACCCCCAUGUUGUCUCGAAUUGAGAUAAGACAAUAUAUGACCCAUUUGGGUCUCCAACUGCUUUAUCGACACUGAAUGAGAAGUGACGGUCUGGCUAAGGGUGGACACAUUUUCUUUCAUUUCUUUCAAAAUUUUGUCUGACCCUUCAACUUUGUUGAGGAUACGAGAGAGCAUAUCCUGAGACCUACCACGUUCCGAAUCCUUCGACUUUUGGCGCUCAUGGGGAGACACAUACAUGUCCUUCACCCCAUCCUUCCAGUUAGGAUUUCGGUCCCUACAUUCUCUGUCGCGAUCCUUCCAACUGAUGAUGAUUUGCAUACCUAUCAGACUUUAAUUUGUUUAAUACGUUUGAUGGAGUACGCAAUGAGACUGGAUCCAGCCCGUGUCCAUGGGCAAUUUGGACUCGGGGCAUGGUCCGUUGAGGAAAAUCGACAUGGUGAUCUACUAAGGACCUAUCUUUAUCUUUCGGGGAGAGUGGAUAUGUUGAUGGUUGAGAAGACACUACAAUACUCUAUUGGAGCUGGAAUUGUAAGUGUUGCUUUGAGCAUUUUUAUAAAAUUAUUUAGUUAAAAAGACCUAUAACAUGAGAUUACUUAAAUAAUGUAGUAAAUAAGUUCAAUGAAACCACCAAAUAUAUAUACAUAUAUAUAUAUAUAUAUUCUUUGAAUUUGUAAUAUUAAAGUUGUGUAUGAAAAAUCAUAUAAUUAAGAAGCAAUUCCCUGCAAUUUUUUUGAAAAUACAUCUUAUAAAUAUUGUUGACACCCAAUUUUGGCUCUCCACAUUUAACUAUAAGAGUAAAGACAUAAAGACACAAUCAAAGUUGUCCCGUAUUUGCAUAAAGACACCUUAACUUUCAAAGCGUCCUAUCACCCCACAGAACUAUGUAAUAUCUUUGUAAAUGGGCCAUUUUGACCCAUUCCCUCGUCUAUUUAGUGGCGCGUGUAGCGCACUCCCUAUGAUGAGAAAAGAUCCGACCCGACCCUGUUCUUUGAAGAAAGUCAUUUCUCCUUUUCUUUUCUUAUUUCUCAACUUUCCCUAAAAUCUAAAGAAAUAGAAAAGUUUUCUCGUUGUGUUGUUGUUGAUAAUCUUGUUGUUUAUGUGUCUUCGUGAAGAUUCUUGGAGAUUGAAGGUCUAACAUGUUAGGGCUCUACAUCAUAUGAUAAAAAUCUUCUCUUUUUUUUAUUAUUAUGAUUUUAGGGAUUAUUAAAAUUUUCUUGUAAAAGUGUUGGAAUCGAGCUCCUAUUGUUGCCAUUGUUAAGAUAUUGUUAGGAUAUUACAGUUUUUCGUUGUUACAGGUUGAUUUUGCUAUGGAAAAAACCAUGGAAUCAAAAAAUUAGGGCUAUUUUGGGUUUAAAAUUGGGGAAGAUGACAUAAAUUGAUUAUAUAAUUAAUAAUAAAGAAAGAAAAUGACACGUGGCACUUUUAAAUUGGUCCAUGGCAGUAAAAACACGGAAUGACGCGCCUCAUGUGCGUGGUAACAACCCAGACGAGGGAAUGGGUCAAAAUGGCCCAUUUACAACGAUAUUAAAUAGUUCUGUGGGGUGAUAGGACACUUUGAAAGUUAAGGUGUCUUUAUGCAAAUACGGGACAACUUUGAUUGUGUCUUUAUGUCUUUNNNNNNNNNNNNNNNNNNNNNNNNNNNNNNNNNNAUAAAUGUUGUUCUUCUUAAGAAUUGAAUCUAUUUUUGGUUCAAAUAUAAUUCCUUUGUCGCAUUAGAUGUUUUUCGUACAUUUUAUUAAAAUUAGAAAGCUUAGUUAAUUGGUGAUUUACUAAUUUAUAUUAAUUUGAGAGUGACUAAUUUUAUCAAAUAAGUUAAUCUUGCAAAAUAAUUAUCACUUAUGGCUAUUUAAUAAAGAAAGUAGUUAUAAUUUAAAUGAAUUCAAUUUGAGAAAAUUUGGCAAUCCAAGUCUCAUUAAACCGGCCAAUCCGUGUAUGCCAUGUAGGCGAGCACAUGGAUUGUGCUUCUUUAGCUAAAAUCUUGACCCUACGAUCUAAUCUAACGGCCUUAAUUAAUCUACCUUCUUACUAAUAUAUAUAUAUAUAUAUAUAUGUAUAUAUAUAGAAUUAUUUUUUAAAACUUUCUUUUUCUCGACCGUUCGAUCAAAUGAUCCGACGGCCCAAAUUAAAACCCAAAUUAUUAUUAUUAUUAUUAUUUGUCAUCUUUCCCAACUAGUACAAUCCAUCAGCCACACUUUUCUUUUUCCCCAGAACUUUCUCCUUCUCCAUACGUUUUCUCUUCCCAAAAAUCGCCCCUUUCCCAUCAAACUCUUUUCCUCUCCUCUCCCAUCGAUCUCUCUCUCCUCUGCCAGUAGUUUCGCCUACAGACCAUCGGAAAAUGGCAAUUUCCGGUUGUCUCCAACGUAUCUCCCUAUCCUCUAUCAAUCACAGCCCCCUUUCCAUCAACUUUACAUCUUUUCCGAUUUAUUUUUGACCCAAAGCAGGCCUAGAAGUCUCGACCAUCAUCAUUGCUCCGCCUGAAAAGUGGGGGGAUGCGAAGAACCAUCGGAUUUUGGUUCAUCUCACCCUUAAUCUUAUGGGUAUGAGAGUGGAAGCCUCUCCAAAAUUACCUAUAAAAAGACCCCUUGGGUUCUCAAUCAAAAGAGGGGGGAGAUCCGGAAAAAUCAAGAAAAGAAUCCAUCAACGUCCUAAAACAAUCCAGGAACGAGCAAGAAAAUCCAAUAAUCAAUUGAGAAUCACAAAAUAGCUCGGCUUAGUUUCUUUUACUUCUUUGCUUUUUUCGUUUGGCUUCGAGUUUGAGUUGAGGUUGGAAUCUUGACGAAACGUUCCUAGUUUGCUGCUCAACAUAAGGUAAAAUUUCUUCUUCUCAUUUAUUUUAUCAUCUUGUUGUCAUCUGGUUCGGUCCUUUGAAGAAACGAUUGGAUGUCCUCUGUUUUCUGAUAUUCAUCUCUUUUCUCCGAGAGUUUGGGAUAACGAAUGAUAUGUUUCCCUCUUGAUCCCAGUUGUUUUAGCAUUUGGUCAUUUUUUUUAUAACCUAGGAUAAUGGUCAGUGCGAAUUUAUUUUUUUUAGCACACAAUCUGAUUUGCUUCAUGUCAUUCAUACUGGUAUGUGCUACAUUCAACUAAUAAAAAUUGUAAUUGACUUUCAUGAGGCAAAAAUUCCCAAUUCGACAUAAUCAAGUGCCAAGAAGAUUAAAGUUCAUAUUGGAGUUUAUACUUACCUUGUCUAAACCAUGUAAAAGUUUUUCUUUACAUUUUUGUUGUUCUUGCACAUUCUUAUUAAGUUGUUGUACUAUUGUGUAGUGAUCCUAAAUCAAGGUGUUUGUUUUCUUUCUUUUUUUUCUCUAAGUAAGAAAACAAAUGCAUUCGCUGGCAGUUUCUCGUCUCUCGUAUUAAUUUCGCUUUUGUAGGUUCCAGCUUCCUACUCCAUGUUGUAAUCAAUGUGUCCCGCCUAUUGAUUCUUGGUUGUUCAUGUAUUCUUGGUCUUAAUUUGUUGAAGUAGUUUAAAAAGGUUUAGAAGUACAUCUACCAUAUCGAGUGUUCAGUUCAUGAUUUGUUUUUCUUCCCUUGAAUAUUUUUAGCAAAAGAAGUAAAGUUUUCGAGCAAAUUUGGUUUACUAUCAACAUAUAACUUCUCUGUUGCAAUCUUUUUAUUGUGUUAAUAUUGUUAUGCCUCAAACUUUCCAUCUUAUUGUGAGUUAAUGUGCUGAUUUGGUUGUUAAAAACAACAGUAGACUACCUUUACUUGCAUUCUUAAACUAGCAAAAAAUGACUUCCUAGUGUAAUGGAUUGUUAUGGUUUGAUGCUAGUUAAUUUAAGUUAAAUAAUGUUACUUCCAUGUCUCUUCAAUUCCAAAGGUAGAGUUUCUCUAACUGAAUUUCAAAGGUUUUUGCUUCUAGGGAUUCAUGUGCUCACUAAAUAAUAUUUUUUUUUGUUUCUUAAAUGAAGUGUCUCUAUUUCUCUAAGUGAUAUAGUGCUUACUGGCGCCAGAAUGCUUUCAAGUUUCAACCAUGCGUUCAAAAUUAGAAUAGAACCAUAUAGGUUGGAACUUUGAAGUGUGAUUAAUUGUCUUGUUCAUAGAUCAAUAAAAUUCUAUUCCAAUAAUAUAUCAUGUUUUGGAAGGUCCAUGAGAUGCCCCACUUGAUUAAUUGUGCACUUUGGCCGAAGAAUGAACGUCCUUUUUGUUUACUUUAAACUCAUACUUCUACUAAUAUGUAUAUAUAUUUUAUAUAUUUAGUUUUGGCAUGCUUGAUCAUUAGAUUAAGUUACUAAUCUUUAUCUCUUUAUUUUUUUUAUGUUUCAUGUACAAUCGGAGAGCUGGAGUUUCUACUUUGGAACUCGUUAUUGGCCUAAGAUAUUAGGCCAACAGCAAAUUAGGAUCAUCGCAAUGCUUGGAGUAUCGCAAAUUAGGAAUCCAAUAUUUCUUAGCCUUCCUCUUUUCGAGUCUUAAUUAUAUUGUUUGGAUAUAUUGGCUAACCUUUACUUACAAGUUUUGAUAUAUUGUUUGUCUUUUAUUUUGAAGGUUAUUUUAUAUGAACUGAUAUUAUUUGUCUGUGAAUUUAGUUGAGACACAUUUAGAACAAAUGUUACAAAAGAUAUUUUCUUAAAAAUGGGUUAGCAUUUUUACUUAUAACGUUCUUUUAGGCUUCUUAAGUUGAAAAGAAGGGCUUAUAGUUUUAAAAGAUGUCCAAAUAAAGUUCAAAAGGGUGAAGUAAUAUUCAUUUAGGUGUUUAAGUAGGAAAAAAUAAAACUCAUAAAUUGGGAUUUCUAACUAAAUUUGAGAUUAGUUAUAAAAGCUAAAAUAAUUAACUUUAGAAAUACAUGAGGCUAAAAUUAUCACCCUCUCAGAAUAUAUUUUUUUUUUUGAAAAAAUAGGCUUAUAUAUUUGUCAAAAUAAUAAAUAUAAUUGUAGAAUAAGUCUCAAUAGUUAGGCCUAUUUUUAUAUUCUUUACAUCACCCCUUAUAAAAUAUAUUCACUAGUCUUAUUUUUUUUGAACCAAGCAUUGCUAAAAUAUUUUAAUCUUGUAACACGCUACUUCAAAUUCCACAUUUUUAUACUCUUUACAUCACCUCUUUAUAAAGUAUAUUGACUAUUCUUUAUUUUUUAUUUUUAUUUUUGAAUCAAAACAUUGCUAAAAAACAUUUUAAUCUUUUUAACAUGCCAUUUCAAAAUUUUAGAUAUGUCCAACAGGUUUCAAAAUACAAGGUACAUACAUAUAUGUGUCAUACAUAUAAAAGGUAUAUUCUAUAUUUUCUCCCCAUAACCUAGUCUUAUCUACUAUCUAUUUUACUAAUGUUAUUUAUUUAUUUUAUAAUUUAUAAAUGCCUACACUUAAAUAUACAUAUUACUUUACUACAUAUAAUCUAUUGUCAAUUUGUCUAUACAUGUAAACAAAUAAUAAGUCUUCAUAUGUUCUAAACAACUUACAUGUAUAUACUAUACUUUAUAAUAAACAUAAUUUUUUAUUCUAUCUAAUAUUUUAACAUUUAGUAUCAUUAUUAUUUAUUUAUUUUAAUUUUUUAGGAAAAUCCUAUUUUUAUCCAAAUUACAUAUUACAUAUUACUACAUAUUUACACUUCACUACUAUCUUAUUUUAUUUUUUCACGUCUUAAUGAAACGACAUAUUUUCAUAAAAUUCAACAUCUAUAUAUUUCUUAGGUAUAACUUACUAUGAUACAUCUAUAUUUUCACAUAUAAAAAUUAACAUACUUUUAAGUACAUCUAUUUAUUUAUUUAUUUUACAUGAUAAAAAACUACUAUCAAAUCUAUUUUAUAAGACAUGUAUAUGUCGUACCUUGUAUUGUACCCUUUUCUUAAACUAACUAAUAACUUAUCGUUUAAUCAUUAAAAAACAAAUAAAUAAAUAAGUUUUCCUAAUCAUAUUUUCCUAAAUUGAGUUUAAGGACUAUUUUCGGAUAGGCUCUAAGGGGUGCUUAACACCUUCCCCUCGAGUAACCAAAACCCUUAUUCAGAAUCUCACUGGUUUCGCAAAUCAAAACAGAGUUUACAUUUACAUAUUUAAAAAAUGGUUUUCCUAAUAUUUUCCUUAAAAUUUAGGUGGCGACUUUAAAACAAAACAAAACAAAACAAUUUUUUCAAAAUCAGAGUGUCAACCACAUUAUGUUGUGAACUGUUUCGGCCGGUUCGAAAUGGGGUGCGACAAAUAUAAGUUGCUCAUCAUUGUUUGAAUUUUAGGACAUCGGAGCAGAGAACAAUCCAUAUAUGGGCUAUGUGUACACAUCAUUUCAAGAGUGAGCCACAUUUCUAACGCAUGGUAAUAUGGCUAGGUUAGCUAUCGAAGGCGGAGACCCCGUGCUAGCGCGUAUGUGUGGAACCAUUGUAGCGGAUGAAAAGCGUCAUGAGAAUGUCUACACAAGAAUUAUUGAGAAGUUGCUAGAAGUGGACCCAAACACGACUAUGAUAGCCAUUGCGAAUAUGAUGAAGAAGAGAAUUACUAUGCCAUUGCACCUCAUGUAUGAUGGGCAAGAUCCGAAUAUAUUUGAGCACUUUUCUGCCAUUUCCCAAAAGCAAGGCGUCUACACAUCUCGUGAUUAUGGUGAAAUAUUAGAAUUUUUCAUAACAAGAUGGGAAUUGGAAAAGCUUGAAGGCUUCACAGGGGAGACGAGACGUGCACAAGAUUUUGUGUGCGGACUUCCACAAGAUUAGGAAGUUGAAAAAUCGAGCCAAGAAAUUAGAGUCACGUUCGACGAAAUUUAGUUGGAUUUUUAACAAGCAAGUGAAUGUUUAGAUGUAUUGAUUUGUAAUGAAGAUGUAAAACUAAAAUGUAUCCUUUUACUUUUUACUAAUAAUAAUAGUCUUUUUGGCUAAUCUACUAAAAUGAACUUGUCUUUAGUGAAUAGCGGUUUGUAUUUAGCUAAAUUAUUUUGAGAAGUACUUUUAUUAUUAGUUUGUGUUUGGUCAAUAUUUUAAGUGUUUUUAAAUUUCAAAUUACGAAAAAUAUAGAUACUACUAAUUAAUUCGAUAAAUAUAAAAUUUUGAUAUGAGUAAUCUUGUUCUAAAAGAAUUACAUAAGUAUUUAUAUUUGGAAGAACUUGUAUGUUUGUUGGACUUCAAUAAGCUAUAUAGCAAUGUAUUUUAUUUUUUUCGUGAGGUGUUCCAGACUUUUUGUUUGAAAAGAGAUGAUACUAUCACAUUACUUUCACUUAAUGCUUCAUACCAUAUGAAAAAGAUAGAAUAUAUGAGGAUCUCAUCCCUUAUCUUAUAAAAUAAAUAAUUUAUUUAAAUCAACUAACAUUUGACUCUAAAUAUUUUGUCACUACAUUUCAUAUUUUUUAAUUAGACGAGAAGCCAAUAAAAUGUUGCUUCUUUUUUAACAAGUCACGAUAUUCUUGGGCAAGCCAACAAAUAACACUACCUGUUGUUGUUGUCGUCUUUGUGGUCGUUGUUGUCGUCGUCACCAUAUUUUAAUUAGAAGCCCAAAAUUCUCAACUUUCCUUAUUCUUUUGUAAUUUUUUUAUUUAUUACUAGCUCAAUUGGACAUUCAUUUGUUCCUAUAAUUAUUUAUUUUAAAUAAUUUGAUAUUUAUUUUAUAUGUUUUAAAAUUAUGGUCUUAAAGAGGUGAUAGACAAUACUUCUUUAAACUGGAAAUUAUAUUUAUUACUCCCUCCGUUCCAUUUUAUGUGAGGUAGUUUGACUCGGCACGGAGUUUAAGAAAGAAAGGAAGACUUUUAAAACUUAUGAUCCAAAAUGAAUGAUAGAAAUUUGUGUGGCUGUAAAUCAUUUCAUUAAGUGUAAAAUAGUCAUUUUAUUGUUAAAUUGUUACUUAAUAUAGAAAUGUAUCAUUCUUUUUUGGACCGACUAAAAAGGAAAAUAAAUCACAUAAAUUGAGACAAAGGGGGUAUUUCUUUUAAAUCUACCUACUAAUAAAAUAUUUUAAAAAUACAAUUGAUACUAAUUAAAGUAAAUUUCAGUGAAAUUAUUUAUAAUCAUGCCAAGCGCGAUUUAGUUUACUAGCUAAUAAUAAAUAACAACAGGAAGCAACUAUGUCAACUAUUGAGCUACUUGUUCAGUCUUUUAAUAUGAGAGAGAAAUAAUUAUGGUUACAAAUUACACUAACAUAAUAACAAUUUAUUCCCUUUCGGUUACCACUAAACUAUAUUAUAUUGUACUAAAGAAAGUAAAGAAAACAGUAAAUUUCUUGGCACAAAAGAUCUUUUACAUAAUUUUUCUAUCACUAUCUAAGUGGACACUAAUAAUAGUGAUGAUUUAACUUUCAUAAGUCAAUAAUCUUCAUAACUUUUACAAAAUUGGAACCCAAGAAAAGAAACUUGAUCCAUGUAUGAGAACUCUAAAUAUAUAAUUACUUGUCAAAGUGCUGGUUAUAUCAAAGUAAAUACACCAUAAUUAUCCGCAUGGGGGGCCAAAGAUUUUCUUAAUAUUUUUUCUUUUAUAACCCCAAUAUAUAGGCCAUAAUAAAGAAGGGAAUAUAACCCUGCAAAACAAGAGAAUAAAGUCAUUUCAAAAUUAUAUCUUUUACUAAAAAUAUUGAUAAUGCAAGGGCAAAAUAGGUAUUUAAAAAUUGAUUUUAUAAAGAGAAGUUUGACGAUGUCAAUGAUUUUCAUCCAUUAAUUAUAUACUCUAUUAACUAAACUUUGACUAAGACUUUUCUUUCUUGAAUCUUAGAUGCAAAAAAUGUCAAACUUAGUAAUUUUCAUAAAUCUCAAACCCACCAAAUUUUAUUUCAAAUGAUAAAGGUAAACUUCACACAUGGAGUAGCAUUUAUUUAUCUAUGUAAUUAUUAUUAUUAUGGAUAAUAUGUUUCUAGGAGUUGGGUUCAUCAGAUAAAGAGAAGAGGGUAGACAAAUAAAGACUAAUUAAAUUGUUUAAGUAUUUUACGUUACCUCCGUUAUACUUGAGGGCACCCAUUUUACUAAUAGUAAGGGCAUAAAUGGACCUAAGUAUAAUGAAAGGACAUUUUUAUAUUUUCAUAUAGUAUAAGGGCAUUUUUUACUCUUUUCCCUAAAAUAUAACAUAUUUCUAAUAUAAAGGAGGCCAAAACACAUAUUUUAAUAAAUUAAUGUUAGAUGUAUUAAAUUAUAUAUCAUAAUCGAAAUAAGAAUUUAUCAAUAACUAAAGGAUCGAAAGUAAUUAAGAUGAACUUACCCAGUACUUAGUAUGUCUGGAUGCAACCCAUAUUCUCUAGCGAAGACGAAUGGAACGAUUCUUUGGGGAAGAGCUGCCUGAAUAUUAGGUAUAAAAUUAAAUUUUCUAUUUCCUAUAGUUAUCUUAAUUUAUUUAAACUUAUAAUAUAUGAUAAAAUAGAGUUUUUUUUUUCAAACCAAAAUAUUGCAUUUUCAAAUUUAAAAAAAUGAAAAUUCUCUACAACUAAAAGCUUUGAGUUCAUGCAUGCUCUGAAAAAUGUUAUUACAAACUUCAACAAUUAACAUCAUGGUGCACGAAUUGAACCACUAAACAUGUAAUUAAGUGUAAAUAUAAUGUCCAAAACUUUUAUGUCAUAUGAUUGUUUGAAUUAAAUUUGAUAACGGUAUUAUUAUCAAUGUUCAAUUUAGAAAGAAUUAAGUAACAUAUAUUGUUAAUGAGUUUAACUUAUGUGCACCAAUAAUGGGGAAAAAAAUUACAUUAUUAUGUCAAGAAAAAAAACUUAAUAGUAGAAUUUCUAUAGUGAGUACACACAAUUUAAUCACACAAUUUAAUCGUAGAUAGUCAUGCUAUAUUUAUAUAUAUUGUAAUAGGUAAUUAUUUGCCUUCAAAAUUACAAAGCUUAUUUUUUUUUAUAAAUAUUUAUCUAUGAAUAUUUUUUGAGUGACCUGAUAAUUACCUGUACAAUUGCGGUAUGAAGUUGCGGUAUGAAGUCGAACUCCUUUUAAGUCCAACGGCAAUAGAAGCGGCUGACACUACUUAGAGGUCCACCUAUAAAUCUUAUGGCCAUCCCUAUUGUUGCCAUCGUACCACACGCAAUUAUUCGAGGUUGAAGUGCCAUGAACAACCCUAUAAAAAUACCAUACACAUAUUGAAUAUAAUGUUACAUUGCUAGGCUAGUACGGUUCGCUUGGCUCUUCGAGCAAUUACUUACUAGUUAUUUCAUUGGGGUACGUAAAUUUUGGUAAUUAUGUGACAUACGUAAACUGAACAUUGCCAUCCCAAGGCCUGCAUAUGAAAUUAUUUUAAUGGAAUAUUUUACCAAACUUGGCAUCCCCACAUUCCAUCUUGCUCAAAAAGUUAGGCAUCUUUGUUAGUAAGUACUCUAUGAUGUUAGGGUUUUGUCCUGAUUUUCUUACCAUAAUUUAAGAUUUAUUUUUCCUUAAAAGAAAAAACAAAACAUUACCAUAAAUGUUUUUACUUUUCUUGAAAGGAAAAUAUAAUAUUAUUUUAUAUUUUGAUUUAUUCUCUCCUUUUAGGACUCCUUUUCUAGUAGGAAAGGUUUUAGGACUCUAUAAAUAUAUGUUUGUUUCUUCUAACACAAUAACAAUAACAUCCACAAUGUAGUCGUUUAAGAGUCUUGUUUAUGGGGAGAUUUAUUCUCUCUAAAGUUUCAAUGUUUUUCUUUAUAUUAGUUUUGAUAUAAUAAUAUUUUUGAUUUUUUUAGUAUAAGUUUUUGUUAUCUGAUUUAUCAACUAUAUGAUUUGCAAAUUGUAAGCUUCCGCAUGACGCCCUAAUCACCCUUCAUAACCCAACACUAUGAUUCAAGGAAAGUAAACUUUAACGUCAUUAAAAUGACCCUUUAUGGAGUACAAUGCCAACAACCAGUAAAAAAUUAUAUUAGUAUAUUAUAUUAACCAAAAGAAUUAAAUUACCUUCAUUAAGUUUCAAAAUUACAUGGUAAUAUAUUAAGAAGUACUAUGUUUCAAUUUGUUCGUCUAGUUUUAAUUUGACACAAUAGAUAAAUGUGGUAAUAUAUAAAUAUGGGAUUAUUCUAACAAAAUAUAAACUUGUGGGUCAACUUUUGUAUUUAAAAAAUCUCAAAUCAUUAUAUGAAAUUUUUGGAGAAUAUGGUAUUUCAUCCAUAUAAAUAGGAUUUUCUUGUAAGCAAUAUUUGUCACUCAUCUAAUAACACUCUUUAGCAUUAAACUUUGUAUUAGUAAUGAUGCAGACUACAAGUUUCUCCCAAUUCAACAUUCCAUCGAUUGUACGGGAGUCACCUCCCCCUGCAACCACCAUACACCGUCGCAAAACCACCUUAUCACGGAGGUUAUCUCUGGUCCUUGCGGUGGCUUCACCCGCAACUUCUCCAUCACGCCACCAGGUCACUCACUCAAUGCCACCAGAAAAAUUGGAAAUCUUUAAGUCAUUAGAACCUUGGGUUUCCGAAAACGUCCUCCCACUCCGCAAGCCCGUAGAGAAAUGUUGGCAGCCCAUUGAGUUUCUCCCUGACCCAUCUCAAGGGCCCGAACAAUUCGAAGAAGAGGUUCGGGCCCUAAGGCAACGAGUUUUAGGGCUUUCAGAUGAGUACUUUGUUAUGCUUGUGGGUAAUAUGCUAACUGAGGAUGCUUUGCCUACUUAUCAAACCGUGAUUAAUACGUGGGACGGAGUACGCGAUGAAACUGGAUCUAGCCCGUGUCCAUGGGCAAUAUGGACACGGGCAUGGACAGCUGAGGAGAAUCGACAUGGCGAUUUGCUACGGACCUAUCUUUAUCUUUCGGGGAGAGUGGAUAUGUUGAUGGUUGAGAAGACCCUACAAUACUUGAUUGGAGCUGGAAUAGUAAGGCCUCUUCUGAAAAUCUUUAUAUAUCCAUCCUUCUUUUUUAUUUAGUUAAAUACUGUACACAGUUUUUUUUUUUUAAAAUACAAUAACACCAGAUAGCUAAAAGAUGCCAUAAAUAAGUUAAAUAUAUAUAUAUGUAUAUAUGAAAGUUGAAACCACCAAAUAUAUGAUAUUUCUUUGCACUGGACAAGUAAAAAAAAAUGAAAAAAAGUAUUGAAUAGAUAACAAAAAUUAAUAAUAUUGUUAUAGUAAAUGAAGCAUGAUAAAUAAAGAUAUGCUAGAUGAGAGUUACACAUUAAAUAAGCUUGAAGUAUUUGUACGUUAUUCAUAUUAUUAUAUGACCGUUAAAUAACGACGUUAUUCUUUUUUGAAUAUUGUUUUACCAUUUUUUUAACCUGGUUUAAAUGAGAAUAAAUAAUUGACAGAGACCUAUGGUCAUCCAAUUUUGAGUCUAUCACACAAAAAAUAUUAUUUAUCAUCAUACAUAUGUAUUAAAUUCAUUCAACUUUAAGAUUAUCACACAUAAUUCACUUUUUUAUUUUUUGAUACUUAAAAGUUAUUUUACUUUAAAAUUUAUCGCACAAAAGACAAAUGAAGCAAAAUAUUUAAGGAGGUUUAUGGAAUUUCUCAGACACAAAGUAACUUAUUUUGUAAUAUGGUGUCAUAUUUCUGGUACAUAAUAUAUAAAAAAUGUUCAAGUGAUAUUUAUUUUAUAGUUAACUAAGUCAAAUUAAGUUGAAUAACUUUUAUAUGAGCGGUAAUUAUUUUACCAUGUAAUAAGAUGUUUUUGAAGUUUAAAAUACUAUAGUUAGCGGUACGGUUGCAUGCAACUUCUUAUAAUUGUCAUGUAUUUUUGAAAAUUCUUUGCAUAUGUUAGGACAUUGGAUUAGAGAACAAUCCGUAUUUGGGCUAUGUAUACGCAUCAUUUCAAGAGCGAGCUACGUGUUCGUCACAUGGAAAUAUGGCUAGGCUAGCUAUAAAAGGCGGAGACCCCAUGCUAGCACGUAUAUGUGGAACCAUUGCCGCAGACGAGAAGCGACAUGAACAUGUCUACACAAGAAUUGUUGAGAAGUUACUAGAAGUGGACCCAAAUGCGACUAUGCUAGCUAUUGCACACAUGAUGAAGAAGAAAAUCAUAAUGCCAAUGCAUCUCAUUUAUGAUGGGCAAGAUCCGAAUAUAUUUGAGCACUUUUCUGCCAUCGGUGAAAGACAAGGGAUUUACACAUCUCGGCAUUAUGCUGAAAUAUUAGAAUUUUUUAUAACACGAUGGAAAUUGGAAAAACUUGAAGGCUUGAUUGGCGAGGCAAGGCGUGCACAGGAUUAUGUGUGUGGACUUCCACCUAGGGUUAGGAAGUUGGAAAGUAGAGCCAAGAAAAUAGAGACACGUCAAGUGAAGUUUAGUUGGAUCUUUAACAAACAAGUGAGUGCUUAGAUGAAUUGAUUUUUCAUAAACAGAGGCAAACCCAGGAUUUGAAGACUCUGGAUGCACCAAUAUUAUCUUAAUUUAAGCAUUAGCGAAACUUUCAAAGGUCAAGGUGGGUUUGUUCUACCGAAUGAUCAUGGGUUUGAAUCUCUUAUUUAUCAAUUUAAUGUUAUAAAUAAUCCCC
rnacentral:lncRNA from 1 species